rnacentral:rRNA from 1 species
GUGCCAGCAGCCGCGGUAAGACGAACCGUGCGAACGUUGUUCGGAAUCACUGGGCUUAAAGGGCGCGUAGGCGGGCCACCAAGUCCGCGGUGAAAUCCUCCGGCUUAACCGGAGAAGUGCCGCGGAUACUGGGGGCCUCGAGGGGGGUAGGGGCAUGCGGAACACUGGGUGGAGCGGUGAAAUGCGUUGAUAUCCAGUGGAACUCCGGUGGCGAAGGCGGCGUGCUGGACCCCAUCUGACGCUGAGGCGCGAAAGCCAGGGGAGCGAACGGGAUUAGAUACCCCCGUAGUCC